rnacentral:rRNA from 1 species
UACGGGAGUGGCAAGCGUUAUCCGGAAUUAUUGGGCGUAAAGCGUCCGCAGGCGGUCUUGUAAGUCUGUUGUUAAAGCGUGGGGCUUAACUCCAUUUCAACAAUGGAAACUGUAAGACUAGAGUGUGGUAGGGGCAGAGGGAAUUCCCGGUGUAGCGGUGAAAUGCGUAGAUAUCGGGAAGAACACCAGUGGCGAAGGCGCUCUGCUGGGCCAUAACUGACGCUCAUGGACGAAAGCCAGGGGAGCGAAAGGGAUUAGAUACCCCUGUAGUCCUGGCCGUAAACGAUGAACACUAGGUGUCGGGGGAAUCGACCCCCUCGGUGUCGUAGCCAACGCGUUAAGUGUUCCGCCUGGGGAGUACGCACGCAAGUGUGAAACUCAAAGGAAUUGACGGGGGCCCGCACAAGCGGUGGAGUAUGUGGUUUAAUUCGAUGCAACGCGAAGAACCUUACCAGGGUUUGACAUCCUGCGAAUCUCUUGGAAACGAGAGAGUGCCUUCGGGAACGCAGUGACAGGUGGUGCAUGGCUGUCGUCAGCUCGUGUCGUGAGAUGUUGGGUUAAGUCCCGCAACGAGCGCAACCCACGUCGUUAGUUGCCAGCAUUGAGUUGGGCACUCUAGCGAGACCGCCGGUGAUAAACCGGAGGAAGGUGUGGAUGACGUCAAGUCAUCAUGCCCCUUACAUCCUGGGCUACACACGUACUACAAUGCUACGGACAAAGGGCAGCAAACUCGCGAGAGCUAGCAGAUCCCAUAAACCGUGGCUCAGUUCAGAUCGUAGGCUGCAACUCGCCUACGUGAAGGAGGAAUCGCUAGUAAUCGCAGGUCAGCAUACUGCGGUGAAUACGUUCCCGGGCCU